rnacentral:rRNA from 1 species
UACGUAGGGGGCAAGCGUUGUCCGGAAUUAUUGGGCGUAAAGAGCGCGUAGGCGGUCCGAUAAGUCGGCUGUGAAAGUCCAGGGCUCAACCUGGAAAGCCGGCCGAUACUGUCGGACUAGAGUCCGGAAGAGGCAAGUGGAAUUCCCGGUGUAGCGGUGAAAUGCGCAGAUAUCGGGAGGAACACCAAUUGCGAAGGCAGCUUGCUGGGACGGUACUGACGCUGAGGCGCGAAAGCGUGGGG